GACGUAGGGCGCGAGCGUUGUCCGGAUUUAUUGGGCGUAAAGAGCUCGUAGGCGGCUUGUUGCGUCGGCUGUGAAAUCCCAUGGCUCAACUGUGGGCUUGCAGCCGAUACGGGCGGGCUAGAGUUCGGUAGGGGAGACUGGAAUUCCUGGUGUAGCGGUGAAAUGCGCAGAUAUCAGGAGGAACACCGGUGGCGAAGGCGGUUGCCUGGGGCUUUGCUGACGCUGAUGCGCGAAAGCGUGGGGAGCGAUCCGG
rnacentral:rRNA from 1 species